AUAGGUUAUGUUAUAUAUUUAUGGUAAAAAGGCAGUUAAAUAUUAAAAUUAUAAUUAACUUAAUUUAUUGACCAUUUACUAUAGGAGUAAAAUCCAAAUAUAAAUGAAUAAUUCUAUAUAAAUUAAUACAUAUAUUGACUCUGCGAAAGCCUUGAGGGAAACUGGGAUUAGAUACCCCAUUAUUCUUGGAUAUAAAUUAACGUAAGUUUACCGGAGUACUAAGAAUUCCUAAAUAUUUAAAACUCAAAGGGCUUGGCGGUGUUUUAGACCCCUCAGGGGAACCUGUCUCAUAAUCGACAAUCCACGUAAGACCUAACCUUUUUUUGCUUUUUCAGUUUGUAUACCGUCGUCGUCAGGUAACUUUUAAAAAACAUAAAGUUAACAAAAGAAUUAUAUUGAAUUUUAACGUCAGAUCAAGGUGCAGCCUAUAUAAAGGUGAGGAUGGGUUACAAUUAUAAAUUAUAAUUACGAAAGGACAAUUGAAAUAUUGCCCAUGAAGGAGGACUUGAAAGUAAAAUAGAUUUAUAUAAAUAUUUUGAAUAAGGCUCUGAAACAUGC
rnacentral:rRNA from 1 species